rnacentral:rRNA from 1 species
GAUGAACGCUGGCGGCGUGCCUAAUACAUGCAAGUCGAGCGAACGGACGAGAAGCUUGCUUCUCUGAUGUUAGCGGCGGACGGGUGAGUAACACGUGGAUAACCUACCUAUAAGACUGGGAUAACUUCGGGAAACCGGAGCUAAUACCGGAUGAUAUUUUGAACCGCAUGGUUCAAAAGUGAAAGACGCUCUUGCUGUCACUUAUAGAUGGAUCCGCGCUGCAUUAGCUAGUGGGUAAGGUAACGGCUUACCAAGGCAACGAUCCAUAGCCGACCUGAAAGGGUGUUCGGCAAAACUGGAACUGAGACACGGUCCAGACUCCUAGGGGAGGCAGAAGUAGGGAAUCUUCCGAAAUGAGCAAAGGCCGAACGGGGCAACGCCGCGUGAUGAAUGAGGGUCUUCGGAUCUUAAAACUCUGUUAUUAAGGAAGAAGAUAGGGGUAGGUAACUGUGCACAACUUGACGGUACCUAAUCAGAAAGCCACGGCUAACUACGUG